rnacentral:tRNA from 1 species
GCCUUCGUGGUGUACUGGUCAGCACGCUCGGUUCGUAUUCGAGAGGCCCCAGGUUCGAGUCCGGGAGAGGGAA